AACCACCUCUCUCUCUCUCUCUCUCUCUCUCUCUCUCUCUAUAACCACACCAGGCGAGAAUUUUGUAGGAGGAUCUGAUGUACUCGCUUGUGGAUCACAACUAUAUUGAUGAUCAUGAUGGCCCAUGAAACUAAAGAAAAUAUGCAAAAGAUCUGUGAGGCACCUUUGAAAUGCCUCCAGUGCAAGGGAUUCCCUUGCAAUUUACGAUAUAAUGGAAGUCCUAAGGAUGGUUUUAUGGAGCUUAAAAAUGAGCCUGUUACCCAUCAGGCUAGGGAUGUUGCUGAACCUGACUACCCAAUCACUAAUGAGCUUCUUGAGCCUUCCAAUGAAUUUCACAACAAACAUAAUUAUCACCAUGAUUACAAUGCCUGGUCAAACUAUCAUUUUAACUCACAAAAGGUGCUGCAAUGCCAAAUGAAUGCUUUUGAAGGGCAUUUUUACCCAUUCCCUGUCGAGGGUCAGUUUCAGUUUGUUCCUAUCAACAUGUACGCUCCAGGUCACCCUCAUGAAUUUCAAUAUCAAGAAUUUCAGUAUUUUGUGGUCAUAGACUUUGAGGCUACCUGUGACAAGGAUAAAAAUCCUCACCCUCAAGAAAUUAUCGAGUUUCCAUCUGUCAUAGUGAGCAGUGUGACUGGCCAGCUGGAAGCAUGUUUUCAGACGUAUGUGAGGCCCACCUGCAAUCAGCUUCUGAGUGAUUUCUGCAAGGAUCUGACUGGUAUCCAGCAAAUUCAGGUGGACAGAGGUGUUACAUUGAGUGAGGCCCUCCUUAGGCAUGACAAAUGGCUCGAGAAGAAAGGAAUAAAGAACACUAACUUUGCUGUGGUUACAUGGUCUAACUGGGACUGUCGGGUGAUGCUAGAAUCUGAAUGCCGGUUCAAGAACAUACGGAAGCCUCCUUAUUUUAAUAGAUGGAUCAACUUGAAGAUUCCAUUCCGUGAGGUAUUUGGUCCUGCGAGGUGCAAUCUAAAGGAGGCUGUUGAGAUGGCAGGUUUGGCCUGGCAGGGCCGUGCUCACUGUGGCUUGGAUGAUGCCAAAAAUACUGCUCGCCUGCUGGCACUUCUUAUGCGCCGGGGCUUCAAAUUUUCUAUCACAAAUUCUAUAAUGUGGCAGACUGCUGAUCAAUCUUAUAUGUCGAAGCUGUCUCCGGAGCAACUCAACUUUGCCCCUCAAUACCCCAAGAAAACAAAGGACAUGCAUAUUAACACUCAAAUGUUUCAGUAUCAUCCUCACUGCUACUGUGGAGUGAAAAGCAGUAAGGGAAUGGUCAGGAAGCCAGGACCCAAGCAAGGGAGCCAUUUCUUUGGCUGUGGAAAUUGGACUGCUACUCGAGGUGCUCGCUGCCAAUACUUUGAAUGGGCUUCUGCUGCCUAACUGAAUCUGAUCAAUGGUAGUCAAAUCCUAAGUUUUCUUAUAUGUUCUGUGUUAUAAAAAAAAAAUGAAAAAGAAAGUGGAUUGGUGGAUGACGAAAGCAGGGUUGUCUCCUGGUGCAAGCAUGUAUGCCUGGUUUGCUUGGUGAGGUUUCUGCUUCAUCAGUAAUAUAGACAGAAGUAUUUGGCUCAUAUAUUAUGCUUAAUCGAGUGUCUGCUUAAGACAUUGUAGUAGUGUUGUGAAGAGAGGAGGGUUUGGUGGGGUGGGGAGGCUCAACCUGUAAAGCUGACUUGUUGACUGGAGAACAAAUCUGGAAUGGGUAGUUAGGGUGAUGCUUUUGAGUGAAUGCUCAGGCGGGCUAAGUUAUCUUGAAUAAUAAUGAGUUUAAAAAUUGAUGAUGGGGCUUACGGUGAAUGAUGUGGAAUCUCCAUGUAAGCAUGCGGUAGAUUAAUGGCUGACACGUGGACUAAAAAGGAAGAGAAGAAAACUUGUAACAGUGGAGCGGUUCGAGAUCGAGAGCUCGCUCAGGGCUUAUCACUUCUGCAUUUUAACCAUGCAAAAUCUAUGCCUUUGAGAAACAUGCUCAAUGAUAAGAGGAACAACGCCAUUGGUGGUGGGUUUGGAUCAUCCUCGAGCCUUUCUCUUGGUCAGGUCUGUGCUUCAUCACCUUUUGCUGAUACGAAAACAUCAAUCUCCUCUCAGUUGCUCUAAUCUGGUGCUAAGUUUUGCUUGGAAGUGAAAAUAGAAAAGAUGGCUGGCGAUCGAAAGCCAAAGGUCGUGAUUGUUGGGGGAAGUAUAGCUGGGGUAUCAACUGCGCUUGCGCUCUGUUCGGCGGGCUGGGAAGGGUUGCUGCUUGAGAAAACCAGCUCACCUUCCACCGGAAAGUCCCACCGGAGCUGGUCUCGGACUUGAUUCUCUCUCUCUAAGGAUCAUAGCUUCACGGCUUUCUCAACCGGAGUUCAUCCACCACUCCACCGUAGCCGUUACCAUUGAUCAGGUCUCGCAAAAGGUCUGAUGGUGGAGGAAUGCCUGUGACGUGGAUGAGCCAUGAAUGGAGAAGAAGAAAUGGACCCCACUGGGCUCUCUGCUUUAUUUAAAAGUAUCAGACGUGAGCUUCAAUUUAACAGAUUUAAUUAGUCAGGAUUUAAAAUAUAUCAAAUGCAGGUUUAGAAUCUGUAGUUUAAAAUUUAAAUUGCAUAAUAACCCUUUAAACAUCCUUGUAAAAUUGGAAAGAAUCAGUAACACCUGCGUCAGAGAUUCAUUGUUUUA